GACGAACGCUGGCGGCAUGCCUAACACAUGCAAGUCGAACGAGACCUUCGGGCCUAGUGGCGCACGUGUGCGGACCACGGGGGAAUCUACCCUUCGGUUGGCUAUAACUGAGAGAAAUUUCAGCUAAUACCUUAUGAUCUCUUCGCACCAAAGAUGUAUGGCCGCAGGAUGGGCGCGCGUAGGUUUAGGUGGUUGGUGGGGUAAUGGCCGACCAAGACGACGAUGCUUGGCUGGUCGGAUAGGAUGCUCAGCCACGCUGGGACUGAGACACGGCCCAGACUCGUAGGGGAGGGAGCAGAGGGGAGUACUGGAGGAGGGGGGAAAGUCUGAUACAGCAACGCGGGGUGAGUGAUGAAGCCGGCAGUGUUGUAAAGCUGUCUUACCCGAGACGAGAAUGACAGUACCGGGAGAAUAAGCACCGGCUAACUCCGUG
rnacentral:rRNA from 1 species